UACAGAGGGCGCGAGCGUUGUCCGGAAUCACUGGGCGUAAAGGGCGCGUAGGUGGCCACUAUAAGGCCGCGGUGAAAGUUCGGGGCUCAACCCUGAAUCUGCCGCGGCGACUGUAGGGCUUGGGCACCGUAGAGGCAGAUGGAAUUCCGGGUGUAGCGGUGGAAUGCGUAGAGAUCCGGAAGGAACACCAGUGGCGAAAGCGGCUUCCUGGUCCAGCACCGACGUUCAGGCACGAAAGCGUGGGGAGCAAACAGG
rnacentral:rRNA from 1 species